rnacentral:lncRNA from 1 species
UAAGAGCCCAUCAAGUGUGAUUGUCUUCCCAACACACACAAGGUCAAAGGCAGCAGUAGGUGAAGUUAAGUCAGACUGCUUUCUUUGCUAAUGAGGCUGCUGCUGCUUCUGUUACCAUGCAACUGUAAUUCUGUCUUCCCACACAGAGUCAUCUGAGAAGAGGGAACCUCAAUUGAAAAAAGAAAAAGUUUCCAUACGAUCAGCCUGCAGGCAAGCCUGUGGAGAAUUCUCUUGACUGACGAUUGAUGUGAAGACCUGAUCCUCCUGUGGGUUGUGCCACUCCUAGGCUAAUGGUCCUGAGGUGCAGAAGAAAGUAAACUGAACAAGCCAGAAGUAUUAAGCAAGUAGACAGCAUUCUUCCCUGCUCUCUGUCUCAGUUCCUGCCCCGCAGGUCCUGCCUAGGCUUCCCUCAGUGAUGGACUAUCGUCUGGAAGUAUGUAAAAGAAUGUGAGGACGGGAAUGCAAUGGCAGAGUCCCACAGAUAAAUAUGUCAAAACACAUCAGAAUUUCUGAGCCUAUGGUGGAACCUGCAUUGCAAGCAAGCUGCUAGCGUGUAUCCAAAUUUAACCUGCUAUCAGAAGAAAUCUGCCUCCUCUUGAACAUCAAAUAGCAUUUAUACAAAUCAUCUAUGACCCUUGUAGCCUGCUUCCUUCACUGCUAUAUUUUAUUAAAUAAUAGGUUUUACUUCACUUGUGUAAUGCUCAUUUACAUGGUCCUGUGUUAUGGAAGGAUAUCAUUAUAUAAGUAUAUUAUGAACUUACUAAGUAUUUUGAGUUUAUUCCCCUUCCACCCCUCCAUUUGUCUCCUUCAUUGCCCUACAAAGUUUGCUUCUGUUUUUACAUAAUAUAUUUAUGCAUCAUUUUAUGUACCUAUAUAAAAACCUAGGAGCCAAAAAUGGAAAAAACAUGUGGUUGUUUGAAUGAG